AACGAACGCUGGCGGCAUGCCUAACACAUGCAAGUCGAACGAGACCUCCGGGUCUAGUGGCGCACGGGUGCGUAACGCGUGGGAACCUGCCCUUAGGUUCGGAAUAACUCCCCGAAAGGGGUGCUCAUACCGGUUAAUGUCUUCGGACCAAAGAUUUAUCGCCUUUGGAUGGGCCCGCGUUGGAUUCGCUGGUUGGUAGGGUACUAGCCUACCAAGGCGACGAUCCAUAGCUGGUCUGAGAGGAUGAUCAGCCACACUGGGACUGAGACACGGCCCAGACUCCUACGGGAGGCAGCAGUGGGGAAUAUUGGACAAUGAGCGAAAGCCUGAUCAAGCAAUGCCGCGUGAGUGAUGAAGGGCUUAGGGUUGUAAAGCUCCUUUACCCGGGAUGAUAAUGACAGUACCGGGAGAAGAAGCUCCGGCUAACUCCGUG
rnacentral:rRNA from 1 species